GACGAACCGUGCGAACGUUAUUCGGAAUCACUGGGCUUAAAGCGCGUGUAGGCGGCCCGGCACGUCCGUCGCUGAAAGCCCCCGGCUCAACCGGGGAAGGGGCGCGGAUACGACCGGGCUGGAGGGGGGUAGGGGGCGCCGGAACUGCCGGUGGAGCGGUGAAAUGCGUUGAGAUCGGCAGGAACGCCCGUGGCGAAAGCGGGCGCCUGGACCCCACCUGACGCUGAGACGCGAAAGCCAGGGGAGCGAACGGG
rnacentral:rRNA from 1 species